rnacentral:rRNA from 1 species
ACGGAAGGCAGCAGUGGGGAAUAUUGGACAAUGGGGGAAACCCUGAUCCAGCGACGCCGCGUAUAGGAAGAAGGUUUUCGGGUUGUAAACUAUUGUCGUUAGGGAAGAAAAAAGACAGUACCUAAGGAGGAAGCACCGGCUAACUAUGUGCCAGCAGCCGCGGUAAUACAUAGGGUGCAAGCGUUAUCCGGAUUUAUUGGGUGUAAAGGGUGCGUAGACGGGAAUUUAAGUUAGUUGUGAAAUCCCCUGGCUUAACUAGGGAACUGCAACUAAAACUAAAUUUCUUGAGUGCUGGAGGGGAAAGUGGAAUUCCUAGUGUAGCGGUGAAAUGCAUAGAUAUUAGGAGGAACACCGGUGGCGAAGGCGACUUUCUGGACAGUAACUGACGUUGAGGCACGAAAGUGUGGGGAGCAAACAGGAUUAGAUACCCUGGUA